rnacentral:lncRNA from 1 species
UCAAAUAAUGUCUUCACAGCCUGGUUAUAAAUUUUGGCUUGUAGAUGCAGGUCAUGUUUGUAGAUAAGUAAGUUGUUAGUAUGUAAUGGCUAACAGUCUAUUGCCUAAAUGGAAUACAUAGCACGACGCACUUAUUCUAAAGAAAUACAGUACAUAACCUAGAUCCAUGUGCUGAGAAAUGAUUAUGAUCCAACUAUUUUAGCCAAGCAGCUAUGGUUAUGGUCUUACUUAGUACCAUUUUACUUGGACUCACUACCAGAGAAGUUAUUCUCCUAUGUAAUUGACUAUAAUUUGAUCUUAUAUCAGAUGACUUCAUCAACCAUUUGCUGGUAAUACAGUCAUAAUUUCAUUUGUUAUAGGCCUUUCUGGAAGAACUGCUUUUGCUUUUUCUUAUAAAAUAGUUUCAUGAAGAAGUAUUUUACAAUACUAGAAUUGUAAUGAGAACCGUAAUGUGUACCUGAUUGCUAGUUUUGUUCUUCUCUUAUCUAUUGGUUCGUGAAUCUUAUUCUUUGUUAUUGGUCUGAGUCCAACAUCUUUGGGUAUUUGACCUUACCCACUGCAAAUAUUAUGUUUUUGAAUUUGAAAUUUGAGCCCUAUCUCGAGCUUUUGAUCUCUAAGUUUAGCUGGAGCUCUUUGAUGUCGAGCUCGAGCUCCAUCUUUUAAAUGAGUGCGAGCUCCAUCUUUUAAAUGAGUGCAUUUACGAGCUAAACACCUAGAGCUCGGAAACAUGUUAAUGAGUUUAAUUUGAACUGAGCCCAAAAUUAUGGGAGGGCUUUGUGCGCUGUGUCACAUUUUCUUUUUGUGUGUGUUCUGUUCUUUUGGUUUUUUUAUCACCUUAAACAAACUGAAUUGAAAUAACUAAAACUUAAAGCCAAAAAUUGAAUCAAGUUUCCCAAAUCAGUUGGUUAUUUGGUUCUAGCCAGAACUGAAUAAUCAACCCCUCUAUUCAAUUCUCAAUUAAGGAAGUAUCUGAAUUCAUCCUUAUAUUUCAGUUUUCUCUCGGAAUAUAAAGGAUUUCACCAUAGAUAAUUAACAUCAUUAUUGCAAAAUGAACUUGAUCAUAAAAUCUUAAUAAACAUGAAAAAUACUGGAAAUAGAG